rnacentral:snoRNA from 1 species
CCCCUCUCAGGGUUGCAUCUGGAGGGUUUCCAGUACUCUACCAGUCUCAACUACAGAAGGGAAAGUCAAGCAGAGGUAUAUCCAUUCCAUUCCUAGCUUGGGCAAUGGCUAGCGAGUGGAAGGCAAUCUGCUACAAAC